AUGGUGGUCCUGGGGAUGCAGACAGAGGAGGGGCACUGCAUAAUGCUGAGAGGGCUGGCACCCUCUCUAGGUGGAACACAGGUAAUUUGUAAAGUUGUAGGUCUGCCAAACAGUAUUGUAUUCAACACAUCUUCUCACCUUCUCUUUCCAGCCACCCUCCAGGGUGCCCUGACUCACCUUCCCUGCAGAUGGAGGUGAGGUUCCACAGACAAACCCCCU
rnacentral:lncRNA from 1 species